rnacentral:rRNA from 1 species
GACGAACGCUGGCGGCGUGCCUAAUACAUGCAAGUCGAGCGGAGCUUAUCCUUCGGGGUAAGCUUAGCGGCGGACGGGUGAGUAACACGUAGGCAACCUGCCCCUUAGCCUGGGAUAACUACCGGAAACGGUAGCUAAUACCGGAUAAUUUCUUUUUUCUCCUGAAGAGAGAAUGAAAGGCGGAGCAAUCUGCCAUUAAGGGAUGGGCCUGCGGCGAAUUAGCUAGUUGGUGGGGUAACGGCUCACCAAGGCGACGAUGCGUAGCCGACCUGAGAGGGUGAACGGCCACACUGGGACUGAGACACGGCCCAGACUCCUACGGGAGGCAGCAGUAGGGAAUCUUCCGCAAUGGGCGAAAGCCUGACGGAGCAACGCCGCGUGAGUGAUGAAGGUUUUCGGAUCGUAAAGCUCUGUUGCCAGGGAAGAACGUCCGGUAGAGUAACUGCUACCGGAGUGACGGUACCUGAGAAGAAAGCCCCGGCUAACUACGUGCCAGCAGCCGCCGUAA